rnacentral:rRNA from 1 species
GUUGUCCGGAUUUAUUGGGCGUAAAGAGCUCGUAGGCGGCUUGUUGCGUCGGCUGUGAAAACCCAUGGCUUAACCGUGGGCUUGCAGCCGAUACGGGCAGGCUAGAGUUCGGUAGGGGAGACUGGAAUUCCUGGUGUAGCGGUGAAAUGCGCAGAUAUCAGGAGGAACACCGGUGGCGAAGGCGGGUCUCUGGGCCGAUACUGACGCUGAGGAGCGAAAGCGUGGGGAGCGAACAGG